rnacentral:rRNA from 1 species
UACGUAGGUCCCGAGCGUUGUCCGGAUUUAUUGGGCGUAAAGCGAGCGCAGGUGGUUUAUUAAGUCUGGUGUAAAAGGCAGUGGCUCAACCAUUGUAUGCAUUGGAAACUGGGGGACUUGAGUGCAGGAGAGGAGAGUGGAAUUACAUGUGUGGCGGUGAAAUGCGUAGAUAUAUGGAGGAACACCGGUGGCGAAAGCGGCUCUCUGGCCUGUAACUGACACUGAGGCUCGAAAGCGUGGGGAGCAAACAGG